GAUGAACGCUGGCGGCGUGCCUAAUACAUGCAAGUCGAGCGAACAGACGAGGAGCUUUCUCCUCUGACGUUAGCGGCUGACGGGUGAGUAACACGUGGAUAACCUACCUAUAAGACUGGGAUAACUUCGGGAAACCGGAGCUAAUACCGGAUAAUAUAUUGAACCGCAUGGUUCAAUAGUGAAAUACGGUUUUGCUGUCACUUAUAGAUGGAUCCGCGCCGCAUUAGCUAGUUGGUAAGGUAACGGCUUACCAAGGCAACGAUGCGUAGCCGACCUGAGAGGGUGAUCGGCCACACUGGAACUGAGACACGGUCCAGACUCCUACGGGAGGCAGCAGUAGGGAAUCUUCCGCAAUGGGCGAAAGCCUGACGGAGCAACGCCGCGUGAGUGAUGAAGGUCUUCGGAUCGUAAAACUCUGUUAUUAGGGAAGAACAAAUGUGUAAGUAACUAUGCACGUCUUGACGGUACCUAAUCAGAAAGCCACGGCUAACUACGUG
rnacentral:rRNA from 1 species